GAGUCUCAGUGAUUUAGCUGGGGUAGUGUGACCAAUGGCAUCCAGGAUGUGAAGCUUCUUUCUGUUCAGUUCUAUAUUAGAUCAUAUACCACUCCAGAGGUCACAAGGUCAAGGGUGAAGUCCUACCCAAUCCUAAUGUUAUUUGUUUACAAUUACUGUACCUAUGUGUGUUUCCUCUAGUGCAGGCCUGGCCUCUCUACCAUGUUUGAAUUCUGCCUUUGGAUUGCUCUUAGUAGAAAAGAAGCUGAAGAUCAAGAUGUGGAAAGAAUAGCAAAUCUCUUAGUGAAGAAACAGUCAAGAAAAUUACUGCUCUCUUAAAGAGAAACAUUAAUUAAAGAUUAUCCAAAGGUGAUACCCAUUAAGUGGAAUCCCAAAAGAAGAGAACACUCACAUGAUGACAGAAGUGCAUGCUGCUCACUUUUGAAGAAAACAUACCCCACAGAUAGGAGAACUCUACCAGUGAAUCUAAAAGCUGUGUGUUCCCUGACUCUCUUAGCUUCCUGGACACAAAAGCAAGUGGCAUGUGACAUUCGCUUUCUUCCAAGCCAUUGUCCAUGUUUAUAUAAUGUUUCACAACGUUGCAUCACAGUUCUGUUUGAAUCCUUGGAACCAAGGCAACGGGAAGAAUGAAUUCUGCUGAUCACCGCAAAGAGACAGAAGAGGCUUUGGCCAGAAAGUUCUUUUUUUAGUUACCAAAGCUCUGGAAUAUUCACCUGCUGGAGUAUUACAUGGAUGUCAAUCGUUCAACUGUGGCUGAGGUUUACAAGAACAGGAGAUGGAUGUCACAACUUCUGGUUUAUAUGGUGACAGCACUUUUAAUGUAUAUUUGAGGAACCAUCCUUUUCUACACUCCAUGGACCUAUUUUCCACAACUGACCUGCCAAGUCUCGGGGGGUGCAACACCCUGAAGAUGUCAAAGCCAGACCCAACAUCUACUCGGAAGACACCGAGGAACGUAUCUCUCUAGGUAUGUCAAUUAUGGAACAACCACUGACUCUGGAAUGCUAUCAGGACCCUAGAUUAUCGAAUGGCUGCAUCUGUGUCGGAUCUUUGGAGAAGGAUGCAAGAUUCAAGAAUUUCUGUGAUGACAUAUCUAAAAACCCCUGCACACAGACUCAGCAUAAUCCCCUAUAAUAGCAACCACAAAGGCAAGCAUACACAAGCAUUCUUUAUCUUUCUCUCUUCAUUUUUGUCUAUCAGAUCUCAUAAUUAUUUACCUUAUUUUUCAUCCUAUCCAGUAGCCAUUUCCCCCAGUUAAUUAGUAAAAGAAUUACACAUUCAUCUUAAUCAUAUCCUUAACUGGAAUAUGUUCCACAUAAAAUUGAAGAUGAUUUUCAAGGAAAGUAAUAAAGCCACACAUUUGUAGGUUGACGUUUAGGCUUUAA